rnacentral:rRNA from 1 species
AGUGAACGCUGGCGGUAGCCCAACACCUGGCAAUUGAACGGCAGCAACGUAAGAGCCUGGCUUUUAGGGGGGGGGGUGGGGGGCGGGGGAGGGAUACCAUCGAAUUUACCUUUUUGUGGGGGAUUAAGGAGGGAAACUUACGCUAAUACCCCCUACGACCUACGGGUGAAAGCAAGGGAUCUUUGGACCUUGCGCGGUUUGAUUGGCCGAUGUCGGAUUAGCUAGUUGGCGGGGUAAAGGCCCACCAAGGCGACGAUCCGUAGCUGGUCUGAGAGGAUGAUCAGCCACACUGGAACUGAGACACGGUCCAGACUCCUACGGGAGGCAGCAGUGGGGAAUAUUGGACAAUGGGCGCAAGCCUGAUCCAGCCAUACCGCGUGGGUGAAGAAGGCCUUCGGGUUGUAAAGCCCUUUUGUUGGGAAAGAAAAGCAGCAGGUUAAUACCCCGCUGUUCUGACGGUACCCAAAGAAUAAGCACCGGCUAACUUCGUG